AAUAUUGUAGACUCAUUUUUUUUUUUUUCCCACAGAGGAAGAAACUGAGGCUAUAGAACAAAAACUUGCUGAAGGUCACUCAGGUUGGGCUGUGGGACUUGUUUUCCUGCCCCGAGCCCAGCGUCCUUCCCACCAUCCAACACUGUUUCCUUUCUUGGUACCUCCAUUAUUAGAACACCUGGAUAUUCUUAGCUAACAAUGGAUGACAUAAAUAAACACACGGUCAUUUCCCCACAUUUCCGCACAGGUCCUCUGCAGAUGGCAAAGCCCUUUCUCUAAAUGCACUGCAUGAAAAGGCGUUUCAAAGGUUGGAAAGAGAUCUUCAGCAUUAAUCAUCAUGGGACAGCGGAAACUGGCUUUGCAAGGGAUGGACUGGGCUUCAGGGAAGGUGGACAGAUCGAGAUCGCUGUCAGGAGAUCAGUGAUGGAAAGUCAGGGCUGCCAUCCCAGGGGCUUGGUGGAGGGCUUCUGCUGUGCCAGGGAACAGGUGUCUGGACUCGGUCUCCCAGGGCGAGCGCCGUCUGCUGCCAGCCCUUGCAGAGACUGGACUGAAGCUCUGAGUACAUGAUUUGUAGGCCAGGAUCCUGCCUGCCCCUGAGGCUGAGGCCAACGUGGGGGUGGCUGCCUUUGAGGCUGGUCUAGAAUUGUCCAUGUAUUUACUGAGCCAAGGAGGAAGAACCAAAAUAGAUGCUGGGAGAAAGCAAAGGUCAGGGGCUCAGAAAGGCAGGUCCUGUGUCAGGCUAGAAGGGGAUAGUAGAAUUGGGGGUGUUGGGGGGAUGGUGUCAAUAGUCAGUGGGGAUGAGGACUAAGGGAAGAACCCCUCUCAAAGGACUCCUAUGCCUAGCAGAGGGUAAGUGAUCAAUCGCUAUUUGUUGAAGUAAUUAAUAGUUCAGCAACCAAGGACAGUCUUGUGGGGAUAGGGGUGGCUCCUAAAAAGGGCCGUGGUAGGAAGGGUGGGGCAGGAAGCUCUAUGUGGUUGAGCCCCUCUGGGGCCCUCAAACUCCAGCGUCAAGUAUUCUGUCCUUUUGAGCCCGAGUGACACCUCUGAUUUUUUACUCUAUCUUGAGGGGGAAGCAGGCCCCCCACAAAGGAGUUGAAUCCCCACAGAUGAAGAUACCUCACUGAGCCUUCAUUUGUCAGCCAAAAAGGGAAAGACAUUUCAGCAGAGGCCUCAAAGACAGAACAAAAUAAAUAGGUGCAAGGAGGCGCACAUCCGCACUAAGUUCUGAGAUCCUGCCCAGGACGAGCUCGUGGAUCCUGGCACCCGAGUGACGACCUGCAUUGAAAAGGCGGAACUUGGCUCUCCUGCCCUGCCAGCUGUAAGAGCUUGAAAGCGAAGCUAUGGGGGGAAUGUCUUUCAUUUCCCCCUGGAAGCUGGGAGGACGUUCAGCUUAGCAUUGCCAACUGUGUAAUGUGGGCUUGCCUCUAAAAGAAGCCUUUUUCCUUGGACGUCUUUCAGGCCGCAGUAUUCCCUUUGGCACCCCCACCCACUUGGAACAAAGCCCGAUGUAAAGUCUGGGUGCAACUCAGACCGGCCUGGGAAAGAAUUUAUUUAAUAAAUGGUGGAAAGUGGCUUCCUUA